rnacentral:rRNA from 1 species
CCUACGGGUGGCAGCAGUGAGGAAUAUUGGUCAAUGGCCGGAUGGCUGAACCAGCCAUGCCGCGUGAAGGUCAGUGCCCUAUGGGCGUUAAACUUCUUUUGUGCGGGAGCAAUAAUGGUCACGUGUGGCCAGACGAGAGUACCGUACGAAUAAGCAUCGGCUAACUCCGGGCCAGCAGCCGCGGUAAUACGGGGGAUGCAAGCGUUAUCCGGAUUUAUUGGGGUUAAAGGGGGCGUAGGGUGUGAGGUAAGUCAGCGGGGAAAUGCCCCCGCUCAACGGGGUGAAGUGCCAUUGAUACUGCCUUGCUGGAAUGCGGAUGCCGUGGGAGGAAUGUGUGGUGUAGCGGUGAAAUGCAUAGAUAUCACACAGAACACCGAUUGCGAAGGCAUCUCACGAAUCCGCGAUUGACGCUGAUGCACGAAAGCGUGGGUAUCAAACAGGAUUAGAUACCCGGGUAGUC